AACCUUUACACUGCCCGACAGUGCGAUAGGGGGACACCGAGUGCGAGGGCAUAGAGCCCUCGCUUUUGUAGACCGUAAGGAGGUCUACGAAUAAGGGCUGGGCAAGACCGGUGCCAGCCGCCGCGGUAACACCGGCAGCCCAAGUGAUGGCCGAUAUUAUUGGGCCUAAAGCGUCCGUAGCUGGCCACACAAGUCCGUCGGGAAAUCCACUCGCUUAACGAGUGGGCGGCCGGCGGAAACUGUGCGGCUUGGGACCGGAAGAUCCGAGGGGUACGUCUGGGGUAGGAGUGAAAUCCCGUAAUCCUGGACGGACCACCGAUGGCGAAAGCACCUCGGAAGGACGGAUCCGACAGUGAGGGACGAAAGCUAGGGUCUCGAACCGGAUUAGAUACCCGGGUAGUCCUAGCCGUAAACGAUGCUCACUAGGUGUGGCGCAGGCUACGAGCCUGCGCUGUGCCGUAGGGAAGCCGUGAAGCGAGCCGCCUGGGAAGUACGUCUGCAAGGAUGAAACUUAA
rnacentral:rRNA from 1 species